rnacentral:rRNA from 1 species
UACGUAGGGGGCUAGCGUUGUCCGGAAUCAUUGGGCGUAAAGCGCGUGUAGGCGGUUCGGUAAGUCCGCUGUGAAAGUCGGGGGCUCAACCCUCGAAUGCUGGUGGAUACUGUCGGACUAGAGUACGGAAGAGGCGAGUGGAAUUCCUGGUGUAGCGGUGAAAUGCGUAGAUAUCGUAAGGAAGACCAGUGGCGAAGGCGGGUCUCUGGACAGUUCCUGACGCUGAGGCACGAAGGUCAGGGGAGCAAACGGG